rnacentral:rRNA from 1 species
AACGAACGCUGGCGGCAGGCCUUACACAUGCAAGUCGAACGUGAAAGUCCUUCGGGAUGAGUAAAGUGGCGUACGGGUGAGUAACGCGUGGGAACGUACCCUUCAGUACGGGAUAACAGCGGGAAACUGCUGCUAAUACCGUAUAUUCUCGAGAGAGGAAAGAUUUAUCGCUGAAGGAUCGGCCCGCGUCAGAUUAGCUAGUUGGUGGGGUAAUGGCCUACCAAGGCUACGAUCUGUAGCUGGUCUGAGAGGAUGAUCAGCCACACUGGAACUGAGACACGGUCCAGACUCCUACGGGAGGCAGCAGUGGGGAAUAUUGGACAAUGGGCGAAAGCCUGAUCCAGCCAUGCCGCGUGAAUGAUGAAGGCCUUAGGGUUGUAAAGUUCUUUUGACGGGGAAGAUAAUGACGGUACCCGUAGAAUAAGCUCCGGCUAACUUCGUGCCAGCCGCCGCAGUAA